rnacentral:rRNA from 1 species
GACGAACGCUGGCGGCGUGCCUAAUACAUGCAAGUCGAACGCUUUUUCUUUCACCGGAGCUUGCUCCACCGAAAGAAAAAGAGUGGCGAACGGGUGAGUAACACGUGGGUAACCUGCCCAUCAGAAGGGGAUAACACUUGGAAACAGGUGCUAAUACCGUAUAACACUAUUUUCCGCAUGGAAGGAAGUUGAAAGGCGCUUUUGCGUCACUGAUGGAUGGACCCGCGGUGCAUUAGCUAGUUGGUGAGGUAACGGCUCACCAAGGCAACGAUGCAUAGCCGACCUGAGAGGGUGAUCGGCCACACUGGGACUGAGACACGGCCCAGACUCCUACGGGAGGCAGCAGUAGGGAAUCUUCGGCAAUGGACGAAAGUCUGACCGAGCAACGCCGCGUGAGUGAAGAAGGUUUUCGGAUCGUAAAACUCUGUUGUUAGAGAAGAACAAGGAUGAGAGUAAAACGUUCAUC